rnacentral:piRNA from 1 species
UACCUCUGGGGAGUCAUUGUACCACG